rnacentral:rRNA from 1 species
AGUGAACGCUGGCGGUAGGCCUAACACAUGCAAGUCGAACGGCAGCACAGUAAGAGCUUGCUCUUACGGGUGGCGAGUGGCGGACGGGUGAGGAAUACAUCGGAAUCUACUUUUUCGUGGGGGAUAACGUAGGGAAACUUACGCUAAUACCGCAUACGACCUACGGGUGAAAGCAGGGGAUCUUCGGACCUUGCGCGAUUGAAUGAGCCGAUGUCGGAUUAGCUAGUUGGCGGGGUAAAGGCCCACCAAGGCGACGAUCCGUAGCUGGUCCGAGAGGAUGGUCAGCCACACUGGAACUGAGACACGGUCCAGACUCCUACGGGAGGCAGCAGUGGGGAAUAUUGGACAAUGGGCGCAAGCCUGAUCCAGCCAUACCGCGUGGGUGAAGAAGGCCUUCGGGUUGUAAAGCCCUUUUGUUGGGAAAGAAAAGCAGCAGGUUAAUACCCCGCUGUUCUGACGGUACCCAAAGAAUAAGCACCGGCUAACUUCGUG